rnacentral:misc_RNA from 1 species
GAUGAGGGCGCUUCGGCCGCGGCGGUUCCUACGCCUCGCGCCAUCGUUGCCACGAGCGGCGUCGGCGUCGGCGUCGGCGUCGUCGUCGUGGCCGUCCUCGUUGCCGGCUAAAGCGGCACCAGCACCGUACACGCAGCAUCCAAAGCCAGACUCCGCCGCUCGGUCCAGUUUGCCUUCCGCUCUCGUUUGGCGUAGUACCGCGACGAGGCCACGUCUCGCGCGACCCAUGCUGCGACCCGUGAACGACGCGACACCGUGAAUCGACGAUACCGUGUGCCGUUUCCAUUCAAUAACACCGUGCAAUCCGUCGCCUUCCUUUUUUUCACCUCGAUCGAGGAUCCGAGGCCGAAUGGAUAACUCGCGUGGGACUAAUAAUAACGCGACGAUAACACGAAGACGGUCUCGCGGUGGUGGAUAAUCGCGGUGUGAGAGAAAGGGUGACACGGGGGUGAUUUUUGUUGUUGACCGCUUUUUUCUUUUCUUUUUUUCUUUUCUUUCUCCUUUUUCUUUCCCUUCUUCCCUCUCCUCCCCCCUCUCCCACGAUUGUUUCUCUCUGAUCGUCGAGCAAGAGUGGUGCCCGUGGUGCCCGUGGAGGGAGCUGAGUGAGAUUCAUGCACAUUCGUCAGUGGUUCCUGGUCAACGUGAUCUCGUAAAGCGGUGUGAGUCUCUACGGCAGAAGGGAGGAGGCGCAGGCUCCCGCGGGGGGCGCGGGGGGUGGCGGUGGCGUCGCAGGCGGAGGGAGAGACGGUGGAGCGGACCGGAACCGGAAAUGGCUGCGAGGUGGCUCCUGCUGGCGCUCCUCGCCGCCCACGCCGCGGCUCUUCCUGAUAUCAUUAGGAUAGGUGGGCUGUUUCAUCCGUCGGACGACAAGCAAGAAGUGGCCUUUCGUUAUGCCGUGGAAAAGAUCAACGCCAACCGGGAUAUCCUGCCCAAGUCCCGUCUCAGCGCCCAGAUUGAGCAGAUAAAACCGCAGGACAGUUUCCACGCUUCGAAGCGAGUGUGCCAGUUGCUGCGAAGCGGGGUGGCCGCGAUUUUUGGGCCGCAGAGCGCGCACACCGCCUCCCACGUGCAAAGCAUUUGCGACACCAUGGAGAUUCCGCAUCUGGAGACACGUUGGGACUACCGGCUCAGACGGCAGAGCUGUCUCGUCAACCUCUACCCGCACCCCACCACCCUCUCCAAGGCGUACGUUGAUCUGGUGAAAGCCUGGGGCUGGAAGAGCUUUACCAUCAUCUACGAGAAUAACGAAGGGCUGGUGCGUUUGCAGGAGUUACUGAAGGCACACGGACCCAGCGAAUUUCCUAUUACGGUCAGGCAGCUCAGCGAGGGCUCUGAAUAUCGGCCGCUGCUGAAGCAGAUAAAGAACUCGGCCGAGUCGCACAUUGUACUGGAUUGCUCCACGGAGAGGAUUUACGACGUGUUGAAGCAGGCGCAGCAAAUAGGGAUGAUGAGCGACUAUCACAGCUACCUCAUCACCUCUCUGGAUCUACACAGCGUCGAUCUCGAGGAAUUCAAGCACGGCGGGACCAAUAUCACUGCCUUUCGAUUAGUGGACCCGGAGAAACAGGAUAUACAAAAAGUCGUGCAAGAUUGGAUCUACGGGGAGAAGCGUUAUAAUCGUGAGCUCGAUAUGGGGCAGAACUCCAACAAGAACAACCUCACCUGCAUAAAGACUGAAACAUCGUUAAUGUACGACGCUGUGCACCUAUUCGCGAAAGCGUUGCACGAUUUGGAUACGUCCCAGCAGAUCGACAUCAAGCCACUCUCCUGCGAGUCAACCGAUACCUGGCCUCACGGGUAUUCACUCAUCAAUUAUAUGAAAAUCGUUGAAAUGACAGGGUUGACAGGGACUAUCAAAUUCGAUCAUCAGGGAUUCCGCUCAGAUUUUAUCCUCGACAUCAUCGAGCUGAAUAACAAAGAGGGGUUGAAGAAGAUAGGGACUUGGAACAGCACGAAGGGAAUAAAUUUUACGAGGAGUUACAAGGAGGAGUACACUCAAAUCGUGGAGAAUCUUCAAAACAAGACUUUUAUCGUAACGACUAUACUGAGCGCCCCAUACUGCAUGAGGAAAGUCUCGAGCAACAAGCUGGUCGGAAACGCACAGUUCGAGGGAUACAGCGUCGACUUGAUUUACGAGAUAUCGAAGAUCCUCGGCUUCAAUUACACGUUCCGGCUGGUGCCGGAUGAACGUUACGGGUCCUACAACAAAAAGACGAAAGAGUGGGACGGUAUGAUGAAAGAACUGUUGGAUCAGAAGGCGGAUCUAGCGAUCGCGGAUCUGACCAUCACGUACGAUCGGGAACAGGCGGUCGACUUCACCAUGCCGUUCAUGAAUCUGGGGAUCAGCAUAUUGUAUCGUAAGCCUAUAAAGCAGGCACCGAAUCUCUUCUCAUUCCUCAGCCCGCUCAGCCUCGAUGUUUGGAUUUAUAUGGCGACAGCUUAUCUAGGCGUAUCCGUGCUGCUCUUCAUACUAGCCAGAUUCACCCCGUACGAGUGGUACAAUCCUCAUCCGUGCAACAAAAACCCGGACCAUCUGGAGAAUCGCUUCAAGCUGCUCAACUGCAUGUGGUUCACCAUCGGAUCCUUAAUGCGGCAGGGCUCUGACAUUCUGCCCAAGUUCAGCCCCUACGAGUGGGAGAAUCCCCAUCCGUGCAACGGACAAUCCGAGGUCCUCGAGAACGAGUUCACCCUGAUGAACUCGCUCUGGUUCACCAUAGGCUCGCUCAUGCAGCAAGGCUCUGAUAUAGCGCCGAAAUUCACCGUACAGAACGGCCAUAAGCGGAGCCAUACUGAAGCUGCAGGAAGAGGGGAAGUUACAUUUGCUGAAGACUCGGUGGUGGAAGGAGAAACGUGGCGGAGGAUCUUGUAGGGACGAUAUCUCGAAGAGCAGCUCGACGGCGAACGAGCUGGGAUUGGCGAACGUCGGCGGCGUGUUCGUGGUGCUGAUGGGCGGUAUGGGGAUCGCUUGCGUGAUCGCGGUAUGCGAGUUCGUCUGGAAAAGCCGGAAGGUCGCCAUCGAGGAACGGAAGCAGAAAUCCUCGGGGAAACCGAUCUGCGAAGCUUUUACCGAUCUACACUAGCGGACGUACUUGUAGGGGUACGGUUGAUUUGAACCAAAAUAACAAACAAAAAAAAAUAUAUAUAUAUAUAUUAUAUAUAUUUAAAAAAAAAAGGGAGUGAGAAACGAAACGAUAGAGAAAGAAACAGGCACACCCAAAACUGAUUCCUAUGCCCGAGAAAAGCGUAUCUGACCCGACGGACCUAAGGAGGAACUCCACCACCAGUGAUCGAGAAAAUUGUGUGAGAACAUUGACAGAAACAAACUGUAAAAAAGUUGAAACGAAACGAAAUAAUCAAAAAAACAAAAAACAAAAAAAAAAAGAAGGAGCAACGAUCCUCGACCUUUCCAGUUUUUUUCUCUUACCCCCAUCUCGAAAAUCUCGACAAUCUAAAUGUUAUGGAACACUAGCCAAUCGAUAUAUAUUAUCGAAUACGGUGUCGUUGGAAUUUCAUUAAGCAGAGAGAAAGAGAGAGAGAGAGAGAGAGAGGAGGAAUGAGAUCAAAACGAUAAGGAAGGAAAAAAAGGGAACGGAAAGAAGAAGAAAGAGAAGAGAAUUCGAAAAGAACGUUUGAUUUGGAAAAAAAAAAAAAGAAAGAUCGUUUUCUUUUCGUCCGCAACCUCCCCUAAUUAACGAUGGUGAAAUGGUGCAGAUAUUGAAAUUGGAAAGGUCAACGCGUUUGCCAUUUGCUCAUAUCAAACCUUUUUAGAUUAAUUGACGACCGACUUGAAGCCUCGCAGCGAGAUGGAAAUGGUAUCUCGGACGGAUUGUUGAAUGAAAGGGCAAAAAAGAAAGAAAAAGGAUAGCAAAAAAAUUAUAGACGCGGCGUGGCUUCUUUUUUUUUUCCUUUUCUAAUGGACUCUCGCCGCGAUCGCGACUGAAUCAUCGUGCUAUUACACAGUAACGAACUAUUUACACACGAACAAUCACCGAUUUUAUACCGACUAGAUUAAUUAAUGUAUAGCGUCAGAUUGAUAACAUUUUAUUGUAUGUACAUAUUGCGUAGCUCAAAGGAGUGAAUCGAUGCUUCGCGAGGGAGCGUGCACGCUUAUUUCUAAACGAGGGACGAAACGAGAAUAAUAAAAGAUACGUAAGCAGAAGUGAAAUAUGAUGGAACGGCGAGCCUGAAUAUCGAAUUAAAUGGUGUAUAUAAGAAAAUUUUUCCAAUGCACACCGGAAGCAAGCCUGCACACUCCUCGGUGAUUGAGGAUAAACUCCGUUAUUUGCGAUAGACGAUAUUCUAUAUGUCUCGAUUCGUAUAUAAAAAAAAGAAAGAAAGA